CUGUUGUCUUCUCCUGCUGGGUGUCUGUGAGAUGUGUCCGGGAGGCGUGCGUUAUGUUUUGGCCGCUGCCCGAGGUCAUCAUUCUGCUGCGGUGUGCGACCCUGUCUUGGUCAUGGAUGUCCCCGUGUGGGUGGAUGUAUGCCUGGACUGCCGUUCGGUGUCUCGUGUGGGCCGCUGUCUGUGAGUGUGUGUGUGCGUGCGAGGUGGGUGCCAUCGCCGGGGUCCGUGGGCGGCCUGUCCUGUAAUUCGCUGGACCGGGCUGCAGCCUUGGACAUGCUAUUGUGGGGCUAUCCUGGUGCCACGACUAAUUAAAGGGCCAAUAUUCCCCGGCGCGUUCUCCCUCCCCCACUGAAGCUGUUCUUGAUACCGGCUGAAACCGUUCUGGAUUCUGGUAAAACUUCUGAUUACACAAGCAAUCUGGAAACUGGCUUCUGUGGAUGGUGGUUCUAUCUGAUGAUGGUUGCCCCUACAGUGGUCCUGCUGUGCGCCUGGCUUACUACUCACAAUUACUUGAAUCAUUUCUGUCAAAGGAAUUGCAUGUAUUAUACAUUGUUCAUUCUGUACACAUGGCAUCCAUUGUAGUCUGUCCAUCCCGGGAGUGGGAUCCCUCCUCUGACGUUCUCCCUAAGGUUUCUUCCCUUUUUCCCUCUUGUAAGGGUUUUUUCAUUUUUUGGGGAGUUUUUCCUGUGCCGAUGGUGGGUUUCGGGGCAGAGGAUGUUGUAUGUGUACAGACUGUAAAGCCCUCUGAGGCAAAUUUGUAAUUUGCGAUUAUGGGCUAUACAAAAUAAAAUGAAUUGAAUAGACUAGCCAUAGGUUUAAAUGAGGGCAAUACGUUUUUGCAGUGCUUUGUUCACUGUUAAAUAGAUCUUUAAGCAUAUAGGGGUAGGCAAAAUUAGACAUUACGUUUGUCUAUUUUCCAUGGAUACGUAAUAGUAAAGAUAUGAUUGUACUCCGCUAGCAGUCGCCGUCUGAUGGGGUUGCUGUAGUAGCUUCGCUAGCAGUGGCCUGGUCUAUCCUGCGGCAGGAUGGAGUCCAAGCCCCAAACAACUUUACAAUAUCAAUAUUAUGCCUGUUAUAAUAAAGCAUUGAUCAAAUUUCAACAUG
ensembl:lncRNA